GAAGGUUUCUCUGAUCCCAAAAAAUAAAAACGGGGAAAUUGUAGAGGAAUGGUUGACUGAUAGAGGUCACAUAGACAU